rnacentral:rRNA from 1 species
GACGAACGCUGGCGGCGUGCUUAACACAUGCAAGUCGAACGGAAAGGCCCUGCUUUUGUGGGGUGCUCGAGUGGCGAACGGGUGAGUAACACGUGAGUAACCUGCCCUUGACUUUGGGAUAACUUCAGGAAACUGGGGCUAAUACCGGAUAGGAGCUCCUGCUGCAUGGUGGGGGUUGGAAAGUUUCGGCGGUUGGGGAUGGACUCGCGGCUUAUCAGCUUGUUGGUGGGGUAGUGGCUUACCAAGGCUUUGACGGGUAGCCGGCCUGAGAGGGUGACCGGCCACAUUGGGACUGAGAUACGGCCCAGACUCCUACGGGAGGCAGCAGUGGGGAAUAUUGCCCAAUGGGCGGAGGCCUGAUGCAGCAACGCCGCGUGCGGGAUGACGGCCUUCGGGUUGUAAACCGCUUUCGCCUGUGACGAAGCGUGAGUGACGGUAAUGGGUAGAGAAGCACCGGCUAACUACGUG